UCCGGUUGAUCCUGCCGGAGGUUACUGCUAUCGGUGUUCGCCUAAGCCAUGCGAGUCAAAUGUAGCAAUACAUGGCAUACUGCUCAGUAACACGUGGAUAACCUGCCCUUGGGACCGGCAUAACCCCGGGAAACUGGGGAUAAUUCCGGAUACCGCAUAUAUGCUGGAAUGCUUUAUGCGUGAAAUGGAUUCGUCUGCCCAAGGAUGGGUCUGCGGCCUAUCAGGUAGUAGUGGGUGUAAUGUACCUACUAGCCUACAACGGGUACGGGUUGUGAGAGCAAGAGCCCGGAGAUGGAUUCUGAGACAUGAAUCCAGGCCCUACGGGGCGCAGCAGGCGCGAAAACUUUACAAUGCGGGAAACCGUGAUAAGGGGACACCGAGUGCCAGCAUCAUAUGCUGGCUGUCCAGGUGUGUAAAAUACACCUGUUAGCAAGGGCUGGGCAAGACCGGUGCCAGCCGCCGCGGUAACACCGGCGGCCCGAGUGGUGAUCGUGAUUAUUGGGUCUAAAGGGUCCGUAGCCGGUUUGGUCAGUCCUCCGGGAAAUCUGACAGCUCAACUGUUAGGCUUUCGGGGGAUACUGCCAGACUUGGAACCGGGAGAGGUAAGAGGUACUACAGGGGUAGGAGUGAAAUCUUGUAAUCCCUGUGGGACCACCUGUGGCGAAGGCGUCUUACCAGAACGGGUUCGACGGUGAGGGACGAAAGCUGGGGGCACGGACCGGAUUAGAUACCCGGGUAGUCCCAGCCGUAAACGGUGCUCGCUAGGUGUCAGCAUGGCGCGACCGUGUCUGGUGCCGCAGGGAAGCCGUGAAGCGAGCCACCUGAAGUACGGCCGCAAGGCUGAACUUAAAGGAAU
rnacentral:rRNA from 1 species